AUUGAACGCUGGCGGCAUGCUUUACACAUGCAAGUCGAACGGCAGCACGGGCUUCGGCCUGGUGGCGAGUGGCGAACGGGUGAGUAAUAUAUCGGAACGUACCCAGAAGUGGGGGAUAACGUAGCGAAAGUUACGCUAAUACCGCAUACGAUCUAUGGAUGAAAGCAGGGGACCGCAAGGCCUUGUGCUCCCGGAGCGGCCGAUAUCUGAUUAGCUAGUUGGUGAGGUAAAGGCUCACCAAGGCGACGAUCAGUAGCUGGUCUGAGAGGACGACCAGCCACACUGGAACUGAGACACGGUCCAGACUCCUACGGGAGGCAGCAGUGGGGAAUUUUGGACAAUGGGCGCAAGCCUGAUCCAGCAAUGCCGCGUGAGUGAAGAAGGCCUUCGGGUUGUAAAGCUCUUUUGUCAGGGAAGAAACGGUAGAGGCUAAUAUCCUUUGCUAAUGACGGUACCUGAAGAAUAAGCACCGGCUAACUACGUG
rnacentral:rRNA from 1 species